ACGGGAGGCAGCAGUGGGGAAUAUUGGGCAAUGGGUGAAAGCCUGACCCAGCAACGCCGCGUGAAGGAUGAAGGUCUUCGGAUUGUAAACUUCUUUGAUCAGGGACGAAACAAAUGACGGUACCUGAAGAACAAGCCACGGCUAACUACGUGCCAGCAGCCGCGGUAAUACGUAGGUGGCGAGCGUUAUCCGGAUUUACUGGGUGUAAAGGGCGUGUAGGCGGUUCUGCAAGUCAGAAGUGAAAUUCCCGGGCUUAACUCGGGCGCUGCUUCUGAAACUGUAGAACUUGAGUGCUGGAGAGGAUAGUGGAAUUCCUAGUGUAGCGGUAAAAUGCGUAGAUAUUAGGAGGAACACCAGUGGCGAAGGCGGCGAUCUGGACAGUAACUGACGCUGAGGCGCGAAAGCGUGGGGAGCAAACAGGAUUAGAUACCCUGGUA
rnacentral:rRNA from 1 species